rnacentral:rRNA from 1 species
CCAUGCAUGUCUAAGUAUAAAUAGUAUACAGUGAAACUGCGAAUGGCUCAUUAAAACAGUUAUAGUUUAUUUGAUAAUGCACACUAUAUGGAUAACCGUGGUAAUUCUAGAGCUAAUACAUGCUAUAAGCCUGACUGUUUGGAAGGGUUGUAUUUAUUAGAUAUUAAGCCAAUAGUGUCCUCGCGGCACUAUUGCGGUGAAUCAUAGUAACUGAUCGAAGCUCAGCAAUGAGAUAAAUCAUUCAAGUUUCUGCUCUAUCAGCUUUCGAUGGUAGUGUAUUGGACUACCAUGGCAGUCACGGGUAACGGAGAAUUAGGGUUCGGUUCCGGAGAGGGAGCCUGAAAAACGGCUACCACAUCUAAGGAAGGCAGCAGGCGCGUAAAUUACCCAAUCCUGAUUCAGGGAGGUAGUGACAAGAAAUAACAACUCGGGGGCCUUCUGGCCUUACGGGAUUGCAAUGAGGACAAUUUAAAUCACUUAGCGAGUAACAAUUGGAGGGCAAGUCUGGUGCCAGCAGCC